UGCAUAUAGCGGACCACUGGUGGCUUUUGGACGGCAAGCCGCCGGUGGUGUGCCAACUGUGGACCGACAUCGGACCACUGACAGUUACAAAACACACAUCGGCCAAGCGGCGGAUUUUGGUUGGCAAUCCGCGAUAGUGCGCGAGUACUUUCAGCUGGUCUAGAGGCGACAUGCCACCCUCGCACCACUGGUGGACCACUAGUCAUUUUGCGCCAGCAACUGUCAUUACAGCGCGCAUUCCAGCGGCGACAUGCCACCCUCGCACCGCUGGUGGACCACUGGAAGAUCUAUAGCCUACUACUCAUGUGCCAGCAAAUAACUGUCGUUUACAUCAGAUGAAUCAUAACAACGACACGGAGCUGUAUGAAGAAACAACAACACAAAGGAUCCAACAGAAGGGGCUUUCCUAAAACACCUCAUGUUUUAUCCCUUGCACCAAGCAUGCUCCUUUCUUUCCACAUACAUUGCUGACUGUAACCUAAAAAUAAACAAAAAUGCAUUUAA